GACAGACUGCAGACAUGGUUGGGAAGAGAGACUGGUUCCACCUCAUGAGCGCACACGGUUCCUUGCUUUGGCUUGAAGAGUUAACAGGAGCUGAGUAUGGGAGGAGUCCCUGCCUCCAAUGACUUGUCUGUUCUUCCAAGUCCUGGCGAUGAGACAAGCUGGCUGGGCUGAUGACAGCAGUGCCCUCGAUUACUGUAGACCUGCCUGACUCAGGAACUGGACCACCGAGACCGUCACAGAAGGUUGGCUCGAUCUGAUAUUCUGUUGCCAAACAUGUCACCUUGGAGUCAGUACAGCACCAAGGAUAUUCUACUUACCUCGACCCCAAGCAGGAUAAAAUAGAAGCAUUGACAUAUGAGUACGUGGCUAUUGCUUUUACCAUUAGAACACCUCCCAACUCACAACUGAGCCACAAUUUCUACUACCCUGUGGCUCUAUUCACCCCUCCACUCAGCUAGCUCAGGUUUGCUGUGUGACCCUUGCCCUGUCUGUGCCGCCAUAGUUGGCCUGGCCUUCAGAUCGUAACCUCUGGAACCCCUUUCCUCUACAUUCUGUGUUUCCCUCUCUCUGUGGAAAUCCAGCCUCAGUUCUUACCUCAUCAAUCCCACUAAUGGCCAUCUCUCCCUCUCUCUCCUUUGCUUAACUCCAAACAUACCCCAGAAUUCUCAGAUAUUACUCUACAUGAAGGACACUGUAUAAAGUUGUUGCAGGGUUAAUGGGAGUCAAGUAGGAAGAAUCCCAGCUCCCAGCAUUAAAACAUCAACACAUUGAGUUUACGUACAUCAAAACAAUAAAUGUAAAAUUGUUUCUAUUUACCAUAUAGGAUAUUUUCUGGUACUUGAAAUAAAAACCUAAUUAUCCUACAUGACCAGUCAUACUUUUCGGCCUUCUUUUGCUGUUCUUGCUGUUACUCUGACCUGUAAUAGUUACGUCUAUAAUGCUUUUAUUUAAAUAUAUGAUGUAUACAUUUGCAUCAAUGCAAUUACUUGAAAAAAGUGGUAUUCAAAUAGGACAUUUAUUUUUUAAAACCUAUAUCAAUGUGCUGUAUGAAUAUUUUUGCCUCAUAUGUUCAAAAGUAAUUUAAAAACAAGAAAUGUAAUCAAAUACACAAACGUUUUAAGUGUACUAUAAUUAAAAAAGAUUGCUUCUUGCUGCAGGUACUUUUUAUGGCAGUAUUUUCGAUGGAGGGGCAGAGGGCAGCUUGUGCAGCCAUGUAUGAACCACUUGAGCUUCAUUAAACCUGUUUGAUUGAA